UACGGGGGGGGCAAGCGUUGUUCGGAAUUACUGGGCGUAAAGGGCUCGUAGGCGGCCAACUAAGUCAUACGUGAAAUCCCUCGGCUUAACCGGGGAACUGCGUCUGAUACUGGAUGGCUUGAGUUCGGGAGAGGGAUGCGGAAUUCCAGGUGUAGCGGUGAAAUGCGUAGAUAUCUGGAGGAACACCGAUGGCGAAGGCAGCCCCCUGGGCCAACACUGACGCUCAGGCACGAAAGCGUGGGGAGCAAACAGG
rnacentral:rRNA from 1 species